rnacentral:rRNA from 1 species
UACGGAGGGGGCCAGCGUUGUUCGGAAUUAUUGGGCGUAAAGGGCGCGUAGGCGGUCGAGUAAGUCUGACGUGAAAUCCCUUGGCUCAACCAAGGAACUGCGUCUUAAACUGCUCGGCUUGAGUCCGGGAGAGGGUAGUGGAAUUCCCAGUGUAGCGGUGAAAUGCGUAGAUAUUGGGAGGAACACCGAUGGCGAAGGCAGGUCUCUGGGCAUUAACUGACGCUGAGGAGCGAAAGCAUGGGGAGCGAACAGG